rnacentral:misc_RNA from 1 species
CUUUGGGAAGACACCUAGUACUGUAAUUUAGAUUUCACCAUAGCUGUAUUAAGAAAACCGUUGUCAUUCGAUCCGACUGUACUUAUUCGAGAUUUAUGAUAGUGAGCUCAGGCUCGAGGCGACAAUCAGUCGCCGAACGUAGCCGCGGUCAAAGGGAUGAACGUUUUGUCUAACAAAGGCAUGAAGUAAUUCUAUAGCUCUCCUUAAAAGAAAUACUUGGGACAGGGCACGACGGUAAACGUUUCAAUGGUUUCUGCCCCGUGGCUCGCCACACGCAGACUUUGUCCUUCGGGUAAGAUGAUUGCCAGAUGCCAACGCAU